AGGAAAGCGGAAUUGGACAAGCACAAAGAUCACUUGAAGUUUGAUGAAGAGAGAAAGCAAGUUCGCUUCCGACAGCAACUGGAACUCUUUUUCUACAGUCGCAAAUGGCGACAGAAACAAGCAAAACGAGAUUUGCCUGUGUGACAUAUCUAGAGCGGCUUCAGAUUGUUUUACACCCAUAGUCAUGUCUUUAAUUAAGAAACUCGAUUAACGUCAUUCGACUCGUUUAUUGCCUUUUGGAAAUUGGCUGUUAGAAAGUGGACGCAGAAGAGGAUGUAAUGCCAGUUGGUUGUUUGUCCACAGCAUCAGUAAUGGAAGACGAAGCAACCAGACGUUCUUGCUGUCUGUGAAAGAGGGACGUGUGUUUGUUCAAUUGCGUGGUACUUUGGAUGAUUUGGAGACGAAGUUGCAGUGCAAUGUACAGUCGUCGUACAUGGUGUGAUUAGCUAGAUGUCACUGGAUGAGCUCAUUGAUAUCACACGAAUGAUCAUGGCAAGAAAAAUGUUGGAAACGGUUACAGUGGACGGAUCAAUCCGAGUCGCAGAGUCACUCAGUAGCUGAAAUAGUGAUGAAUUGCGUGCAAGAAAUUUUUGAAUUUGUGAUUGGCUCAUUGUACUGCACUGUGGUGCAAGGCAUUUGAG